rnacentral:rRNA from 1 species
CUACGGGGCGCUCCAGUGAGGAAUAUUGCGCAAUGGGCGAAAGCCUGACGCAGCAACGCCGCGUGGAUGAUGAAGGCCUUCGGGUUGUAAAAUCCUUUUUUGGGGGACGAUAAUGACGGUACCUCAAGAAUAAGUCCCGGCUAACUACGUGCCAGCAGCCGCGGUAAAACGUAGGGGGCGAGCGUUACCCGGAUUUACUGGGCGUAAAGCGGACGUAGGCGGUGCCGUAAGUUGGAUGUGAAAGCUCCUGGCUUAACUGGGAGAGGUCGUUCAAAACUGCGGUGCUUGAGGAUAGAAGAGGAGAGUAGAAUUCCCGGUGUAGUGGUGGAAUGCGUAGAUAUCGGGAGGAAUACCAGUGGCGAAGGCGGCUCUCUGGUCUAUACCUGACGCUGAGGUGCGAAAGCGUGGGGAGCGAACGGGAUUAGAUACCCUGGUAGUC